UUAUACAGCGAAACUGCGAAUGGCUCAUUAUAUAAGUUAUCGUUUAUUUGAUAGUACCUUACUACUUGGAUAACCGUGGUAAUUCUAGAGCUAAUACAUGCUAAAAAUCCCGACUUCGGAAGGGAUGUAUUUAUUAGAUUAAAAACCAAUGCCCUCUGGGCUUCUUGGUGAUUCAUGAUAACUUCUCGAAUCGCAUGGCCUUGUGCCGGCGAUGGUUCAUUCAAAUUUCUUCCCUAUCAACUUUCGAUGUUUGGGUAGUGGCCAAACAUGGUUGCAACGGGUAACGGAGGGUUAGGGCUCGACCCCGGAGAAGGAGCCUGAGAAACGGCUACUACAUCCAAGGAAGGCAGCAGGCGCGCAAAUUACCCAAUCCCGACACGGGGAGGUAGUGACAAUAAAUACUGAUACAGGGCUCUUUUGGGUCUUGUAAUUGGAAUGAGUACAAUUUAAAUCCCUUAACGAGGAACAAUUGGAGGGCAAGUCUGGUGCCAGCAGCCGCGGUAAUUCCAGCUCCAAUAGCGUAUAUUAAAGUUGUUGUGGUUAAAAAGCUCGUAGUUGAACCUUGGGCCUGGCUGGCCGGUCCGCCUCACCGCGUGUACUGGUCCGGCCGGGCCUUUCCCUCUGUGGAACCCCAUGCCCUUCACUGGGUGUGGCGGGGAAACAGGACUUUUACUUUGAAAAAAUUAGAGUGCUCCAGGCAGGCCUAUGCUCGAAUACAUUAGCAUGGAAUAAUAGAAUAGGACGUGUGGUUCUAUUUUGUUGGUUUCUAGGACCGCCGUAAUGAUUAAUAGGGACAGUCGGGGGCAUCAGUAUUCAAUUGUCAGAGGUGAAAUUCUUGGAUUUAUUGAAGACUAACUACUGCGAAAGCAUUUGCCAAGGAUGUUUUCAUUAAUCAGGAACGAAAGUUAGGGGAUCGAAGACGAUCAGAUACCGUCGUAGUCUUAACCAUAAACUAUGCCGACUAGGGAUCGGACGAUGUUACUUAUUGACUCGUUCGGCACCUUACGAGAAAUCAAAGUGCUUGG
rnacentral:rRNA from 1 species